UACGUAGGGGGCUAGCGUUGUCCGGAAUCAUUGGGCGUAAAGCGCGUGUAGGCGGCUCGGUAAGUCCGCUGUGAAAGUCGGGGGCUCAACCCCGUCGAAAGCCGGUGGAUACUGUCGGGCUAGAGUACGGAAGAGGCGAGUGGAAUUCCUGGUGUAGCGGUGAAAUGCGCAGAGUAUCAGGAGGAACACCCAUUGCGAAGGCAGCUCGCUGGGACGUUACUGACGCUGAGACGCGAAAGCGUGGGGAGCAAACAGG
rnacentral:rRNA from 1 species